GACGAACGCUGGCGGCGUGCUUAACACAUGCAAGUCGAACGAAGAGCGACGGAAGCUUGCUUCUAUCAAUCUUAGUGGCGCACGGGUGAGUAACGCGUAAUCAACCUGCCCUUCAGAGGGGGACAACAGUUGGAAACGACUGCUAAUACCGCAUACGAUCUAACCUCGGCAUCGAGGAUAGAUGAAAGGUGGCCUCUACAUGUAAGCUAUCACUGAAGGAGGGGAUUGCGUCUGAUUAGCUAGUUGGAGGGGUAACGGCCCACCAAGGCGAUGAUCAGUAGCCGGUCUGAGAGGAUGAACGGCCACAUUGAGACUGAGACACGGCCCAGACUCCUACGGGAGGCAGCAGUGGGGAAUCUUCCGCAAUGGACGAAAGUCUGACGGAGCAACGCCGCGUGAGUGAUGACGGCCUUCGGGUUGUAAAGCUCUGUUAAUCGGGACGAAAGGCCUUCUUGCGAAUAGUGAGAAGGAUUGACGGUACCGGAAUAGAAAGCCACGGCUAACUACGUG
rnacentral:rRNA from 1 species